CUACGGGGGGCACCAGUGAGGAAUUUUGCGCAAUGGGGGAAACCCUGACGCAGCAACGCCGCGUGAGUGAUGAAGGCUUUCGGGUCGUAAAGCUCUGUCAAGUGGGAAGAAACUGGAAAAUGCGAACACCAUUUUUCAUUGACGGUACCACUGAAGGAAGCACCGGCUAACUCCGUGCCAGCAGCCGCGGUAAUACGGGGGGUGCAAGCGUUAUUCGGAAUGAUUGGGCGUAAAGGGCGCGUAGGCGGCCUUUUAAGUCAGAUGUGAAAGCCCGGGGCUCAACCCCGGAAGUGCAUUUGAAACUGAAGGGCUUGAGUAUGGGAGAGGGAAGUGGAAUUCCUGGUGUAGAGGUGAAAUUCGUAGAUAUCAGGAGGAACACCGGUGGCGAAGGCGACUUCCUGGACCAAUACUGACGCUGAGGCGCGAAGGCGUGGGGAGCAAACAGGAUUAGAUACCCUCGUAGUC
rnacentral:rRNA from 1 species